CCUACGGGUGGCAGCAGUGGGGAAUAUUGCUCAAUGGGGGAAACCCUGAAGCAGCAACGCCGCGUGAGGGAUGAAGGUUUUCGGAUUGUAAAGCUCUUUUGUUAGGGAAGAAAAUGACGGUACCUAACGAAUAAGCACCGGCUAACUCCGUGCCAGCAGCCGCGGUAAUACGGAGGGUGCAAGCGUUAUUCGGAUUCACUGGGCGUAAGGGGCGCGUAGGCGGUAUAGCAAGGCAGAUGUGAAAUCCUAGGGCUUAACCGUGGGACUGCAUUUGAAACUGUUAGUCUAGAGUGUGGGAGAGGUAGGCGGAAUUCGUGGUGUAGCGGUGAAAUGCGUAGAGAUCAAGAGGAACACUAGUGGCGAAGGCGGCCUGCUGGACGAUAACUGACGCUGAGGCACGAAAGCGUGGGGAGCAAACAGGAUUAGAUACCCCUGUAGUC
rnacentral:rRNA from 1 species